rnacentral:tRNA from 1 species
ACUUAAGUAGUUUAUAUUAGAAUAGUAUUUUGUGGGAAUAUUGGAGUUAUUUUAACCUUGGGUU